rnacentral:rRNA from 1 species
GAUCCUGGCUCAGGAUGAACGCUGGCGGCGUGCCUAAUACAUGCAAGUCGAGCGGUAGCACAGAGAGCUUGCUCUCGGGUGACGAGCGGCGGACGGGUGAGUAAUGUCUGGGAAACUGCCUGAUGGAGGGGGAUAACUACUGGAAACGGUAGCUAAUACCGCAUAACGUCGCAAGACCAAAGUGGGGGACCUUCGGGCCUCAUGCCAUCAGAUGUGCCCAGAUGGGAUUAG